UCCUACGGGGGGCAGCAGUUAGGAAUAUUGGUCAAUGGGAGAGAUCCUGAACCAGCCAAGCCGCGUGAGGGAAGACGGCCCUAUGGGUUGUAAACCUCUUUUGUCGGAGGACAAAACCCGGGACGUGUCCCGGACUGCGUGUAUCCGAAGAAAAAGCAUCGGCUAACUCCGUGCCAGCAGCCGCGGUAAUACGGAGGAUGCGAGCGUUAUCCGGAUUUAUUGGGUUUAAAGGGUGCGUAGGCGGACUGUUAAGUCAGCGGUAAAAGCCCGGGGCUCAACCCCGGCGAGCCGUUGAAACUGCAUCC
rnacentral:rRNA from 1 species